GGGGGGGGCAAGCGUUGUUCGGAAUUACUGGGCGUAAAGGGCUCGUAGGCGGCCAACUAAGUCGGACGUGAAAUCCCCAGGCUCAACCUGGGAACUGCGUCUGAUACUGGAUGGCUUGAAUUCGGGAGAGGGAUGCAGAAUUUCAGGUGUAGCGGUGAAAUGCGUAGAUAUCUGGAGGAACACCGGUGGCGAAGGCGGCAUCCUGGACCAACACUGACGCUGAGGAGCGAAAGCCAGGGGAGCAAACGGGAUAGAUACCCCGGUAGUCCUGGCCCUAAACGAUGAAUGCUUGGUGUGGCGGGUAUCGAUCCCUGCCGUGCCGAAGCUAACGCAUUAAGCAUUCCGCCUGGGGAGUACGGUCGCAAGGCUG
rnacentral:rRNA from 1 species